UUUGUUUGUUGGUGUUAUCAAUAGAGGGCAGUUCUGUUUUGUUUUUUUUCAUAAAUACUCAAAGUUGAAAUGUAACCUUGAUUUGGAAAUUGUUUAUUAUUUUAUUAUUACUUUUUACUUUACAUGCCAUUAUAUAUGAACAGAUGUGUUAUUUUAGGAGUGAUAUAUUUAUUGCAAUAAGCAAUCUUGAUAUUUAAAAUUGAAUUGUGUCUUGUUGAAUGUAAUGAGAUUACUAAAUUUUGAGAUAAGUUUUAUUUCUUUGUUUAUUGAAAUUCAGAUUACUUUUUAACUGAUAUUUGAAAAAGAAAAAAAUGCUCAAUAAAGCAUUUGCCGGAUAGAUUUCAUAAAUGGUAGGAUCAUUUAUCAUCAUAUUCUAUUUACCACACUAGUCAUUUUGAUUUGACCAUUUUUGCAAGAGAAAUGGAACUUGAACAAUUUUCAGCUAACUUGGGGCCAAAGGGUCAAGUGAGCUUUUCAUAUAAUUUGGCAUCUAUCAUCAUUAAAUUUUACCAAACAGUCUAUGAUCUAAGCCCAAGAGUAAAAAGGGAACUUAGAAAACACCAUAUUUUCAAAUUAAACUGUCACAUCAAUUAUAGAUACCACAUGGAUUCUCUCUCAAUUUUUAGGUGACAAUUGUUGCAAGAAGGGAUAAAAAUGAAAUACACA
rnacentral:lncRNA from 1 species